GAUGAACGCUGGCGGCGUGCCUAAUACAUGCAAGUCGAGCGAACAGACGAGGAGCUUGCUCCUCUGACGUUAGCGGCGGACGGGUGAGUAACACGUGGAUAACCUACCUAUAAGACUGGGAUAACUUCGGGAAACCGGAGCUAAUACCGGAUAAUAUAUUGAACCGCAUGGUUCAAUAGUUAAAGACGGUUUUGCUGUCACUUAUAGAUGGAUCCGCGCCGCAUUAGCGAGUUGGUAAGGUAACGGCUUACCAAGGCAACGAGGCUUAGCCGACCUGAGGGGGUGAGGGGCCACACUGGAACGGAGACACGGCCCAGACUCCUACGGGAGGCAGCAGGGGGGAAUAUUCGACAAUGGGCGAAAGCCGGAUGCAGCAAGGCCGCGUGAUUGAAGAAGGUCUUCGGAUCUUAAAACUCUUUUAUGGGGAAAGAAAAAAUGUAAAGGAAAAUCUCGCGGUUCUGACGGUACCCAAAAAAAAAGCACCGGCUAACUACGGG
rnacentral:rRNA from 1 species